AGGAUGAACGCUGGCGGCGUGCUCAACACAUGCAAGUCGAACGAUGAACUGGAGCUUGCUCCGGGGAUUAGUGGCGAACGGGUGAGUAACACGUGAGUAACCUGCCCUUGACUCUGGGAUAAGCACUGGAAACGGUGUCUAAUACCGGAUAUGACCUUCAGCCGCAUGGCGUA
rnacentral:rRNA from 1 species